rnacentral:rRNA from 1 species
UACAGGGGUCUCAAGCGUUGUUCGGAUUCAUUGGGCGUAAAGGGUGCGUAGGUGGCGCCAUAAGUCGGGUGUGAAAUCUCGGGGCUUAACUCCGAAACUGCAUUCGAUACUGUGGUGCUUGAGGACUGGAGAGGAGACUGGAAUUCAUGGUGUAGCAGUGAAAUGCGUAGAGAUCAUGAGGAAGACCAGUGGCGAAGGCGGGUCUCUGGACCAACACUGACACUGAGGAGCGAAAGCCAGGGGAGCAAACGGG